AAACACGAGAAAAACCUAAAUGUGCAAAAACUUAAAAAGGAAAAAAAAGAAAAAGAAAAGAAGCUUAAAACCCAAACGAAAUAUGAUCAGUAUAUUUUAUUAUUAAUAAAAGAAAUUUAUUUUUCU
rnacentral:ribozyme from 1 species